UACGUAGGGCGCAAGCGUUGUCCGGAAUUAUUGGGCGUAAAGAGCUCGUAGGUGGCGUGUCGCGUCUGCCGUGAAAACCCGCGGCUCAACCGUGUGGUCUGCAGUCGAUACGGGCAGGCUAGAGUUCGGUAGGGGAGACUGGAAUUCCUGGUGUAGCGGUGAAAUGCGCAGAUAUCAGGAGGAACACCGGUGGCGAAGGCGGGUCUCUGGGCCGAUACUGACGCUGAGGAGCGAAAGCGUGGGGAGCGAACAGG
rnacentral:rRNA from 1 species